GAUGAACGCUGGCGGCGUGCUUAACACAUGCAAGUCGAACGAUGAAGCCCAGCUUGCUGGGUGGAUUAGUGGCGAACGGGUGAGUAACACGUGAGUAACCUGCCCUUAACUCUGGGAUAAGCCUGGGAAACUGGGUCUAAUACCGGAUAGGAGCGCCUACCGCAUGGUGGGUGUUGGAAAGAUUUAUCGGUUUUGGAUGGACUCGCGGCCUAUCAGCUUGUUGGUGAGGUAAUGGCUCACCAAGGCGACGACGGGUAGCCGGCCUGAGAGGGUGACCGGCCACACUGGGACUGAGACACGGCCCAGACUCCUACGGGAGGCAGCAGUGGGGAAUAUUGCACAAUGGGCGAAAACCUGAUGCAGCGACGCCGCGUGAGGGAUGACGGCCUUCGGGUUGUAAACCUCUUUCAGUAGGGAAGAAGCGAAAGUGACGGUACCUGCAGAAGAAGCACCGGCUAACUACGUG
rnacentral:rRNA from 1 species